rnacentral:rRNA from 1 species
GAUGAACGCUGGCGGCGUGCCUAAUACAUGCAAGUCGAGCGAACAGAUGAGGACUUUCCUCCUCGGACGUUUUCCGCGGGCGGGAGAGUAACAUGUGGAUAACCUCUCUAUAAGGCUGGUAUCACUUCGGGAAACCGGAUCUUAUCCCGGAAAAUAUAUUGAACCAUAUGGUUCAAUAGUAAAAUACGAUUUUGCUGUCACCUAUAGAUGGAUCCGCGCCGCAUUAGCUAGUUGGGAAGGUAACGGAUUACCAAGGCAACGCUUCGUAGCCGACGUGAGAGGGUGACCGCCCACACUGGAACUGAGCAACGGCCAAGACUCCUACGGGAGGAACAAGUAGGGAAUUUUCCGAAAUGGGCGAAAGCCUGACGGAGCAACGCGGGGUGAGGGAUGAGGGUCUUCGGAUCGUAAGACUCUGUUAUUAGGGAAGAACAAAUGUGUAAGUAAAUAUGCACGUCUUGACGGUACCUAAUCAGAAAGCCACGGCUAACUACGUG